rnacentral:rRNA from 1 species
UACGUAGGUGGCAAGCGUUAUCCGGAUUUAUUGGGCGUAAAGCGCGCGUAGGCGGUUUUUUAAGGCUGAUGUGAACGCCCACGGCUCAACCGUGGAGGGUCAUUGGAAACUGUUAAACUUGAGUGCAGGAGAGAAAAGUGGAAUUCCUAGUGUAGCGGUGAAAUGCGUAGAGAUUAGGAGGAACACCAGUGGCGAAGGCGGCGUUUUGGCCUGUAACUGACACUGAGGCGCGAAAGCGUGGGGAGCAAACAGG